AACUGAUAAAUCUUAGUAGGGACAAAGCUCUUCUAGCUGCAGAUAAGGCUAGACAAAGGCUUAUGAUACAAAAGCCAGCAGUGGAGAUUGAUGCAUUGAAGCCACUACCACUAGAAACAAAACAUGGCCCAUUAAUGAACCCUGAAAGAAAUAUGGCCAAUUCAGGAACAGCUGCAACACCUCUAGUUUCUAAAGGCAGAAUUCCAGGUUCACCAGGAAGACUUACAAGCCCGAGGCGUCGAUUUUCAGGCUCUCCAACUAUGUUUUCUGCUAUGCCAUCACCGUCA
rnacentral:lncRNA from 1 species